rnacentral:lncRNA from 1 species
AUGGUGAUUGUGUUGUCCUUCCUCUUGUGCCUUUGGUAUGAAGAUAAUCCUAGAGCAGAUGUGCUGUGCACAGAGUACUUGUAUCUGGCCAGAAGAAUAUCAGCUGAAGAAUAUGAGGGCUCCAUCCAGCUGGCAGCACCUUCACUUGAACCACAACAGCAGCAGGUAAUUGUAACAGAACACUCCCUGUCAAAACAAGCGAGAUUUACUACGCCAGUGGAUAAUGAAAUGGAACAGCUCAUGCAAGCAAUAAAGAAAAAGCACUGCCGGAAAGAUGGAAAGGCAUAUUCAAACCUUUAAAGACUAUAAAAACAAUACAGUAAAAGAGUAAGCUGUUGAGUGUAUCACUGCUCAGCGUCUCAGGACUAAAGGAGAACUGCAUUCACAGACGGUGUCUAUAGACUUGCUUUGCGUCUAGGGAAUGCUUGCUGAGCAGCAGUGAUGAUCAUUCCCAGCAUCAUUAGCACCUCCCAUAUCAAAUCUCAUAUCAGGAACUCCUUGAUGCCAGUGUGCUAGCAGUUUAUGAUACCAGCCCAUGCCAAACAAUUCAGAAAAUAAUGUGAGAAACAAUUAUGAAAUAUAUCAUCUGUAGUCUUCCUAAAUCAUAACACUUAAAAGAGAGUUUUUGCUGUUGCCUUUAACGUUAGUGUUUUUCAAUGUCUGUGUGUGAUUUGUCUCUUUUACUCUCUUUGGGCAGUAUAUACAAAUGCCUACCUUCUUUGGAACACCUCUAAUUUGUUGGGUGUAGUAAUGUGUGUAGGAGCUCCAUCAGCUGAUUAUGCCUUAUGUGCAGAAGUCUGUCCUAGAAGAGUUUGUUUCUUAUUUUACAGAAACCGCUCAUUUUUCACUUGUGCUCUUGUACGUGGAAGAGUAAUUAAGGAGCACCCAUUGAUCUGUUGUACAAUAACCAUUAUUUUAUAUAUAAUAUGUGGAUGUUUUUGUAAUACUUCAUGCUUCACGUAAUUAUCCAGCCCUGCCUAAACAGUACACCGAAGUAAGUCAGUGCUAUUGCAGCACUACACUGGAAGGAUGUUCAAGCCAGGUUUAAAUUAACUCUCAUAGCAGUUGUUUGCAGCCCAGUGGUAGCAGCUCCAAGUUCAGCCUGGGCUGCCAAACCCACCCAAGAAGCAAUUAGCACAAAGCAAGGUCUGCACUGCUGCACUUACAGUAGCUCUUGCACCACAGACAGCAGCGUGCGUAUACCUUGAUCUUUCCAGUCCUUCCUCCUACGGUGGUUUAGUCACCUAAUUCAGAGCCAAUCUAUUAGCAGCUAUCUUUCUUUCCAGGAGCAUAUUUCUUG